rnacentral:lncRNA from 1 species
CCCUAGCUUUUAACCAUGUGCAUAUUUGGUUGCAUGUUAUUUCUGCUGCACUUUUAUUUUGUAAUUACAUAUCUUUAAAUACAAAAUAAAAAAGAAUGCACUUCCGGGUAGGAGCGGAAGUACGCUUCUUCAUUCAGAGCUCUGGCGUUUGUGCGCUUUUUUUUGAGGCGCUACAGCCGCUUUUCUCCCCUUCAUCGCCAUUAGUUUUAAAAAAUGUCCCGAAGGCGACACAGCGACGAGAAUGAGGGUGAGUAGUAAAGCGGUGCAUGUGUGGAGAGCUAACGGCUGUGUGCGCUGCUCCGACUGGC